ACACUGUCCCGAUUUUUAUAUACGAUGGACACCCGAAUGCGAAAAUUGUAAGUUCGUACGAAGUUGGUCCCGAUCUCGUUAAAAUACCAAAAAGUGACAGAAGCAAGUACGAUGAAUAACGAAGUCUAUACGAUGGUGCCGAAAUUAUAUACGAUAGCAAAAGAUAGACAUACGAAGGUUAACCGAAGACGGGUAUUUAAGCUUCAUAUCUCAGCCGAAGCCUACACGAUGGAUCACGAAGGCUACACGGUGGAUUACGAAGGCUACACGAUGGAUUACGAUGAUGGCGCGAUGGCCAAACGAUGUCUAAAAGACGUUUAUAUAUCAAAUAUGCACAUUUAUGUACGUUUCGGAAACAAAGUUUAUCGACAGGUUGUAGGUAUCCCCAUGGGCACUAAUUGUGCCCAUUUAAUAGCAGACUUGUUUUUUUACUGUUACGAAUCACAGUUCAUGACUAAACUCAGUAAAGACCCGUCGAAAUUGCAGUUAAUUGAUAAAUUCAACAACACUUACCGUUAUAUUGAUGAUAUAUUUUCGUUAAAUAAUCAAGAAUUUUCUCAAUAUACUGUGGAAAUUUACCCCAAGGAACUUACUUUAAAUAAAUCAAAUUUAUUCGGUAA
rnacentral:lncRNA from 1 species